CUGCAAUGAUGUGAUGAUGAUAUUCCGGUUCAUGAUGAUGAUGAUGUUCUGGUUCAUGAUGAUGAUGAUGGAUGCUUUCAGUUUUAGUUAAGUUGUAAGGAUGUUGUUCAUGUUGGAUGUUGUUCCUAGGUUAAGUUUUUGUUAAGUUGUAGGGAUGUUGAUGAAUGCUUUCAGUUUAAGUUUCGCUGUCAAAAAUAUAUUUAGAUUAUGCAUCACAUUUGGAUGAUGUACCUCCUGUAAUACCCAAUAUUGUAAUCCAACAGUUUUAUCAAUAUAUAUGUUCUCUUUCUCUUGUGAGUAUAUUCUUUUAUUUUUUUCCUCACUUGAUAUAGAUAAUUACUUCCAUUAUCAACAUCAUUAAUUGCAUAUUAUUAUUAAAAAUAUAUGUAUGAACACCUGAAGAGUUGCAAAUUCUUUGUUGCCAAGCAAUGAGAUUUGGAUUCCUGUACAUUGACCACCAACGUAUAAAAGUGUUGUAACAAUCGAUUUUAUGUGUUGUACUCUUGCAACGGUCCAUUUACCAACGGAAGUAUAAGUGUUGCAUUAUGCGCUAGCAACACUAGAUAAGGCAACGCAUCCCAAACUGUUGGUAAAGACACUAACAACGCAUAUAUGGACUUCUAGAUACAGAAAAAUCCGUUGCUAUAGAUGGGGUCCUGUUGUAGUGGAGGUGGGACUAAACUUGCCGCACAGCACCUGCGCCAGCGCAUCCCCUUUAGUACCGGGUCGUGGCACAAACCGAUACUAAAGGGGGGCCUUUAGUAUCGGUUUGUGCCACCACCCGGUAAUAAAGGGGGUCGCUUCCUGCCGCUUGGGCUGGCCAAAACUGGCCUUUAGUACCGGUUGGUGGCACAAACCGGUACUAAAGGCCCCUCCUAUAUAAACAACACUUACGAAAAUUUCAGUUUCUCAUCUGGUUUCUUCUCCUCUGCACCGUCGCCCGCCGCCCCCGUACGUCUCCAUCCCUCGUCGCCGCACCCGUCGCCGCCCCGUGCCCGUCGUCCCCGUCCCGUCGUCCCCGUCGUCACCGCCGCCCCGUCCCGGCCCAUCCCGCGUCGUCCCCGUCCCCAUCGUCGGCGCCGCCCUGUACGUCCCCAUCGUCCUCGCCGCCCUGGCCCCUCCAUCCCCGUCCCCAUCGUCGCCGCCCCGUCCCUGUCCCCGUCGUCGUCNNNNNNNNNNNNNNNNNNNNNNNNNNNNNNNNNNNNNNNNNNNNNNNNNNNNNNNNNNNNNNNNNNNNNNNNNNNNNNNNNNNNNNNNNNNNNNNNNNNNNNNNNNNNNNNNNNNNNNNNNNNNNNNNNNNNNNNNNNNNNNNNNNNNNNNNNNNNNNNNNNNNNNNNNNNNNNNNNNNNNNNNNNNNNNNNNNNNNNNNNNNNNNNNNNNNNNNNNNNNNNNNNNNNNNNNNNNNNNNNNNNNNNNNNNNNNNNNNNNNNNNNNNNNNNNNNNNNNNNNNNNNNNNNNNNNNNNNNNNNNNNNNNNNNNNNNNNNNNNNNNNNNNNNNNNNNNNNNNNNNNNNNNNNNNNNNNNNNNNNNNNNNNNNNNNNNNNNNNNNNNNNNNNNNNNNNNNNNNNNNNNNNNNNNNNNNNNNNNNNNNNNNNNNNNNNNNNNNNNNNNNNNNCGCACACACACACAUACAUUUUUUGUUUUUAGUUAUACAAAUAGUUAGAAAUUUUUCUGUUUUUUAGAAAUUGUUAGAAAUUUUUCUAUUUUUCAGAAAUAGUUAGAAAUGUUAGAAUUGUUAGAAUAGUUAGAAAUGUUAGAAUUGUUAGAAUAGUUAGAAAUGUUAGAAUUGUUAGAAAUUUAUCUGUUUUUUAGUUAUAGAAAUAGUUAUAAAAAAGUUAGAAUUGUUAGAAAUUUUUCUGUUUUUUAGUUAUAGAAAUAGUUAUAAAAAUGUUAGUUAUAUAUAUAGAAAUGUUAUAAUUUUUUUCUGUUUUUCAGUUAUAGAAAUAUUAGAAAUGUUAUAGAAAUGUUAGUUAUAUAUAGCAUUGUUAGAAAUGUUAUAGAAAUGUUAGUUAUAUAGAAAUGUUAGAAAUUUUAGUUAUCAAAAUCCAAUCAUUAAAAAAAUGUUACUUUUUGUGGGCAUAUAGCUAGUAUUUGUUCUCGACGAUGCCCGACCCGCAUCCUCGCCGUCGACACGUCUGCGACGACGUCCGGCUGACCCAUGUCCGGGACUGGGCUCCGCCGGGCUGGCACUGGGAGGUGCUGCCUGGAGGGGCGCGCCGCUUGAUGAGGAACCCGGCCCCGGGUCCCGUCGUCGACCCUGAUAUCGUUUGGUGGCGUUUGUUUGGGCCAGUUUCGGUGCGGAGGGAGCCGGCCCCGCCGGAGAUGGUACGUCGCCGUGUCAGGGAGGAGGACGAGCACGCCCAUCGCUACAUGGUUGCAUUAGAGGGCGGCAGGUUCUCCAAUACAUGGCAGUUUCUUCAGGGAUCUCACUUCAGCUAUGAUCCUGUGAGGGUUCCUUCUCUUUGGGUGUCCACCGCCCGCGCCGCAGGAACCGCGAGUGUCCUAGAUUUUUCUGUAGUAUUCGAUCUUUAUUAGCUACCUAGCCAGUGAUGUAUUCGAUAUUAUAUCUAUUAUUCGAGACGAUGUAUUCGAGAUUAUAUCUAUUAUUCGAGACAAUGUUUUCGAGAUUAUAUCUAUUAUUCGAGACGAUGUAUUUGAUAUUAUAUCUAUUAUUCGAGACGAUGUAAUUUGAAUACUAAAUUGUUUUAUAUUUCUUUUGGAUUAGUUAAAUAAAAGCUAUGGCGGACAAUACCGGCAGAGAGGGAGAACAGGACAUGUUCGAUAUGAUAAGCCAUCCUCACGGGCCAGAUGAUCAUCAGAAUGAAGAAGAUUAUGACGGCUCCGAAUUUCUAAACAAGACCGGAGAGGGUGAUAUGAUAUUCGAUCGCAACGACCGAAUUGAUGAAGUCAUGAACUAUGAUUAUGAUGAUGAUGAAGAAAAUGUUGAUCUUGAAAAACAACAAAGACCGGCGAGGUAUAUAUAUUUAUAUAAGCAGGCAUCUGUUGAUCAUCACACGUUUUAAAUGACUUGAAGAUAUAUUAACGAAUCGAUAUUUGUUCUUUCAGCCAUCCGGAUCAAGCAAAUCUUCAGGCAAAAGGACGAAACGAGGCCCGAACAAAAAGUUGAACGAGGGCGUAAAGUACAAUAUCGAGGCAGUCAGACCUAAUGGCGAACCAUUAGCGCCUAAGAAGAUUGCGGACGAGUUCGUUCGUCAGUGCGGAGUUGUUGUGAAGGACCAACUCCCGAUCUCCCUUCAAGAAUGGAGAGAGCCAGCAAAAGACAAAAGACAAAAAGACAAAAAGGACGCUGCUCCACGUCCAGAUGUUACUUUUGUUGACAAAAGACAAAAAGAGCUGCUUUGGGAUACUCUCAUGGAACAUUUCACCCUACCAGAUCAUUUCGCAGAAGCAGAUGUGCAGAAAGUCAAGGACGCUUGUCGGUGUCAAAACCGGCGGAUCUCGGGUAGGGGUUCCCGAACGGUGCAUCUAGGCGGAUGGUAACAGGAGAUGAGGGACACGAUGUUUUACCCAGGUUCGGGCCCUCUUGAUGGAGGUAAAACCCUACGUCCUGCUUGAUUAAUAUUGAUGAUGUGUGUUACAAGAGUAGAUCUACCACGAGAUCAAGGAGGCUAAUCCCUAGAAGCUAGCCUAUGGUAUGAUUGUUGUUCGUCCUACGGACUAAAGCCAUCCGGUUUAUAUAGACACCGGAGAGGGCUAGGGUUACACAGAGUCGGUUACAAUGGUAGGAGAUCUACAUAUCCGUAUCGCCAAGCUUGCCUUCCACGCCAAGGAAAGUCCCAUCCGGACACGGGACGAAGUCUUCAAUCUUGUAUCUUCAUAGUCUUGGAGUCCGACCGAUGAUGAUAGUUCGGCUAUCCGGACACCCCCUAGUCCGGAACUCCCUCAGUAGCCCCUGAACCAGGCUUCAAUGACGACGAGUCCGACGCAUAUGUUGUCUUCAGCGUUGCAAGGUGGGUUCUCCCUCCGAACAAUUCAUAGAAGAUUGUGAACACCAGGAUAGUGUCCGGCUCUGCAAAAUAAUUUCCACAUACCACCGUAGAGAGAAUAAUAUUUACACAAGUUCAAUCUGCUGACGUAUUUGAUGGCGUGACAUCACACCACUACCAAGCCUUUACUUAAAUCGUUUUUAUUGUACCACCUCAGCGCGUUUAGCGAAGCGGUUUCCUUGGCACAUCUUGUCGAAGCAGAGAUCGUGUUCCCCUUAUUCCGGGAUUCCCAUCAAUACGGACGUGGGUAACCCAACCGCGCCAUUGAUUGCGGCGCUUGGCGGAUAAGCGAGUUUUAUCAGGCCGGUGGGGAUGCAUGUUUCGUCCGCCCAUAUAAGGGGAUAAAGAUCCAACCCUUUUACCUGUGCCUUCUUCCUCCUUGGCUUAUCCAUCUCUGCGAACCCGAGCUCCAGCGCCCAAGCCCGCACAUCUCGCCUCAACCUUCUCCAACUAUGUCCAGAGCAGGAGGCAAGUGGAUGGCCUCCUCCGUCACGGAGGGGCAGAUCCAGAAGCUGGGCGACGCUGGAUACUUGUCCAGCGACAUCGCGCACCGGCUCCCCAUCGAGGGAGAGCUCAUCCCCAUCCCCAAGCCCCAUGAGAGGGUAGUAUUUCUUCCCCAUUUCCUCCGCGGACUGGGCUUCCCGUUCCAUCCCUUUGUCCGGGGGCUCAUGUUCUACUACGGCCUGGAUUUCCAUGAUCUGGCCCCGAAUUUCAUCCUCAACAUCUUGGCGUUUAUUGUCGUGUGUGAGGCCUUCCUCUGCAUCCAGCCCCACUUUGGCUUGUGGCUCAAGACCUUUAGUGUCAAGCCGAAGGUUGUGAAGGGCAGCCAAACGGAGUGCGGAGGCGCCAUGGUGGGCAGGAUGUCCCACGUUACGUGGCUGGAGGGCACUUUUGUGGAAACCAUCAAGGGGUGGCAAUCGGGGUGGUUCUACAUCACCGAGCCGCGUGACCCCGAAUGGGCAGCGGCCCCCGAAUUCAGAUCUGGCAUCCCCACACGGCUCAUCUCCUGGAAAGAGAGCGGCCGGAUUUGGGGUGAUUCGGAGGAGCUGACCGGACUCCAAGCCUGCGUCCAAAAGCUGGUGGACAAGAAGCUCAAGCUUGUCAACAUAGUCCAGGUCAUGCUUAUCCGCCAGAUUCUCCCGUGCCAACGACGGGGCUUCAACAUGUGGGAGUUCGAUCCAGCGCAGCACCAGACUUUGAAUGGGCUCUUCGACACUACGUACAAAGAGGUCUGGAAGGUGCUGUUCAAAGGCGCCGAGGCUCCCGCAUCUGCUACCGAAGAUCGCGGAUUCAGCUUGGAGCGUCCAGCUGAUGAGGUAAGUUAUUUUGUCCUUUAAGGGACGCUUGUCUUCCAUAGUUUGACUCUAUGCGGGAUCUAAACUCCCUUUCCUUUGACAGGACUGGCUGAAGAAGUCCGCACAGGCUAUCUGUCCGGCCCCAUUGCUAGAGGACCCAGCGGACGCCCGCCUAACGGGGCUGCUGGCUCCGGCACCCCACGUGGUGCCGGAGAAGAAGGCCAAGAAGAAGGCCACGGGGACUCAGAAGAGUUCCCGUUUUCAGGUGCUAUCGGAUGAUGAAUCCGAGGCCGACUCCUCCCACCAAGGCGAGGAGGAGAAGAAGAAAGCCUCUCCCCCAGCGGGGGGAGGGAAGAAAAGGAAGGCCUCCCCACCAAGGGAGACCGAAGGGUCCAAGAAGGGAAAAACUCUUCCCCCGGACUGCUCCUCCAACGCCAGUGACGACGAUAAGGACUGGCCUCCAAGGGCCAAGCCUCUGGCAAGAUCGUAAGUACCCAGACUCCCGAAUAACUUCAAGGUUUUUAUUUUCCGCCACAUAAUGUCUUUCUAAUGCCGCAUACAACCCUGCAGUCCGCCUAAGGAUGAUCUUCCCAGUUCGCAUCGGAUAUGGAUUCUCUUCCGACUGCCUCCACCCCCCGUGACGCGGACGAUGCCGAGGUGGGAUCACAGGAAGGGACCCACCAGGAGGAGAGGGCUCCGGAGGUGUCGCAGGACAACCUCCCGGACUUUGCACUGGACUCGGCCCCCGAACCCACAGUGGCCCCGGAGUCCGGCGGGCGACCCCUUCGCAAGAAGGGCAAGACCGUGACACCGGCUGCCUCCGUCCAACCGGAGGUGCCGGAUAAUUUGCUGGAGGCGCUCAACGGCGCCUCCAUCGAAGAGGAGCACCGCACUAUUAUGAGUGCGGUGAUUCAGAAGGUGCGGCUCGCCAAGAGCGGGCUGACCGAAGCCUGCAGCAGCCUUCUAACAGGCUUUGAGGUAAGAAUUUCAAUAUGUAUAAAAUGGUACCACAUAGACAGUAGCCCCUGAUGCUCGGUUCGGUGUUCGGAAAGAAAAGCCGGACUGAGGAUCUUAAAAAAGAUAUACGCAGGAGUCAUAAAAAAUAUGUCAAUAUGGGAUUGCAGGCUGCGCUGCUGACCUCUGCCGCACUGACUGCGAAGGUCAAUAUUUUGAAGGAAAACCUCGAGUGGUCCGAGAACAAGCUCGGCCAUGCCAAGAAGCAGCUCGAGGACAAGGAAGAUGAGUAACACCUUAUUAAAAUUGCACCUUAUAGAAAAGGAUUUUGGUUGCAAAAAGAAUGACAAGGAUAAUGUGGGUAUUGCAGGGGCCACUAAUGAGGUGGCGACCCUGAAAGAGGCGGUGGCCGCGGCCGAACGCAAUGCGGCUGCGGAGCACACCGAGCGAGAGAAACAGGAGGCGCGGGUGGCGAAGGUACAGCAAGAGCUCCAGGAUCUCGUGCAGAAACAUGAGAGCCUGGAGCGUGACUCGAAGACUCGAGAGUCUGAGCUUGCAACGGCUCUUGAGAGUGCCAAAGCCGCUAAGGCUGAAGCCUACAAGGCCCUCCAGGAGAUCGAGGCGGUAAAUAAAAUAGCAGCGGGUAAGGCAUUUUUCAUGCAAAGUAAGCAUGUGAGUGUUAAUUACGUGUCGCUUACCCGAAUUCGGAGCUCUCCAGGAGCGUUCGCAGAUCUUCCUCGCAGCGUGUCUGAUGCUGCCGCAUUCUACCGGGCCGAGGAGGGGAGCUCGACGGAGAAGGUCUUCUGGUCUCAGUAUGCUGAGGCUGGACAUCCGGUGCCCCUUAGCGACCAGCUGAAGCAGCUGGUCGAGCUCCACAAGGCGGCCGAACAGGCCAUGAAGGGCCUCAUAGUUCGACUGUGGCAUAAGGAGGCCAUGCCUGGGAGCUACUUCGGCCUGGUGCGGCGGCUGGUGGAUGCGUGCCCGUGGGUUGAAGUCAUCAAGCACUCCGCCUGUAUUGAGGGUGCCCGUCGGGCCCUUGCCCGCGCAAAGGUGCACUGGGGCAAGAUGGAUGCCCAGAAGCUUGUGACGGACCCACCACCAGAGGGCAAGGAGGAUCGCACGCCCGAGAUGUAUUAUAAGAGUGUGUUGAAGGGCGCCCGCACUAUUGCGGGUGAGUGCUCCAAAGAUGUAAUAUUUGAGUAGACUCGCAUUUUGUUAUCCUGUGCGCUGAAAACUUAGUUCAUUUGCGCUAAGCAACACUUUUUAAUUUAAAAUAUUACCUUCUGUGCGGCUGUUUAUCAAAUCUGAGAGAUGGCAAGUCAUCGGCUUCAGCCCCCAAGCCACGAGUGCUGGGGUGUUCGGGAUAAAUUUGAGCGCUCUUGUUUCAAUAUUUGGGUCUAUCUAGGGAGGCGCUCAACACAACGAACAAGGCAACCGGACUUAUAAUGCUUGAACACUCUCACUUAGCCAUAGAAUUCUAUAAUUUUAAAUUUCGGCGAAGCCCCUAGUCUUCGGAAGGCCGAAUUUGCAGCGCUAUCCACGCCUGGGCCGGACAAAAUCUGGCUCCUCGCUCUAAGCGGCAUAAGUCUUUAAGGACUCGCAAAAACCUCUCGAACAGUGACCAGCUCUCGCCUCAUCAUAACGGUCAGUUUUAGCUUUCUCCACUGAGGCGUUAACCCAGCUCAACUGGGGCGCAAUCGUAGUGGUUCUCCCAGUGCUACCUUAGCCGAUACAAGGUACCAAAACAUGGGAGCCGGGCAAACCCAACUAUUGACCCAAGACAUGAUUCGGAGCUGAUGCAUAUAGUGCUAUAAGUUCGGGGUGCAGCACUUGUGAAAGUGUUCGGACUUAUCACACCAUGAUGCGGGAAACAUAAGCCCCUGGUGUAUUUUAGCUGUACCAAAACGUACUGAUGCGUAAUGUCAUAAAUGAACAUAUGCAUAAAAGAGAAAUGCAAUUGGAAGCAAAAGGGUGCUGCGUUACUUAUUCAAGAAAAACUGCUAUAAGUGCAGAACGAUACAAAUGGUGCGAUAAGCAAGGGAUGGGACUGUAAAAUAUGUCCCCCUCCAGGGGUAGGCUGCGGAAUGGUGCAUAAAAUAGAUUUAAUGCUCGUAAUGGAGACCACCUGGAUAUUUGCUGUAGCCUUUCUUCUUCCCUGGCUGUUGCAUCGUGAGUUCGGCAGGUCUAUUGCCGGACAGGGCCUCUGACGAACAGAGUCCUGUGGGUAAAGAGAAAAAGAAAGAAAAGAAAAAAAGAACGACACACUUAAGAGCCCCUGGUGUGGUUGAACCGCAGUCUGGGCCUAUCGUGGUCGCGCCCCUCUCCCCAUGCCCAUGGUAUCUUCAGAGCGUAAUGGUGUACGCGAAGGACCUGUCUUGACGUUUUACAGGGGCUGGGGAUGGGGCCGCACUGCUACGCGUGCUCGGAACGUGCCAGGUGGUCUUGUUGUAGGUUACUCCGGGCGCGCUUAGCUGUGUCCGGCCGUUUAACGGCCGGACUCGAGAAUUGUCUUAAGAGACUGCUUUGUACUUCUGCCGUGAGAGCCGCUGUAUGUUCCUCCGUACGGAGAGAACGUUCAGUGUUUCCGUUGACCGUGAUGACUCAUCGAGGGCCUGGCAUCUUGAGCUUGAGGUAUGCGUAGUGCGGCACCGUGUUAAACUUUGCGAACACGGUACGUCCGAGCAGGGCAUGAUAGCCGCUGCGGAACGGAACUAUGUCGAAGAUUAACUCCUCGCUCCGGAAGUUAUAUGGGGAUCCGAAGACCACUUCCAGUGUAAUUGAGCCUGUGUAAUUGGCUUCUACACCUGGUAUGACGCCUUUAAAGGUCGUCUUGGUAGGUUUAAUCCUUGAGGGGUCUAGGCCCAUUUUGCGCACUGUGUCCUGAUAAAGCAGGUUCAGGCUGUUGCCGCCGUCCAUCAGGACUCUGGUGAGGUGAAAUCCAUCGACUAUUGGGUCUAGAACCAAUGCGGCGAAUCCGCCAUGGCGGAUGCUGGUGGGGUGGUCCCUCCGGUCAAAAGUGAUCGGGCAGGAGGACCAUGGAUUGAACUUCGGGGCAACUGGCUCCAUCGCGUAUACAUCCCUGAGGGCACGCUUCCGCUCCCUUUUGGGUAUGUGCGUUGCGUAUAUCAUGUUCACCGUCCACACCUGUGGGGGGAAACGCUUUUGUCCUCUAUUGUUCGGUGGUCGGGUCUCUUCCUCGUCAUCGCUAUGCAGCCCCUUGUCACUGUUUUCGGCAAUUAACUUGCCUGUCUGCUUGAAUAUCCAACAGUCCCUGUUGGUGUGGUUAGCUGGCUUUUCAGGGGUGCCAUGUAUCUGGCACAAGCGGUCGAGUAUUCGAUCCAAAUUGAACAGACCCAGAGUAGUUCUUUUGACUGGCUUUUUCCGCUGACCGGGUUUAGAGCCUCUGAAUCCGGCAUUGACUGCCGUAUCUUCACUGUUGUCGCCGUUAAGGUGGCGUUUGUUUUUGUUACGACGCGGCCUGCCAUUACGGUCCUUGGUAUCCGGACUGCCAGAAUGUUUGCUGAGGUUGUUGCUGCGUGCUAGCCAGCUGUCCUCACCCGCGCAGAAGCGGGUCAUUAGUGAUGUGAGGGCUGCCAUGGAUUUCGGCUUUUCCUGUCCCAGGUGCCGGGCAAGCCACUCGUCGCGGAUAUUAUGCUUGAAGGCUGCAAGGGCCUCCGCAUUCAGACAGUCGACGAUUUGUUUUUUCUUGGUUAAGAACCGUGUCCAGAAUUGUCUGGCCGAUUCGUCUAGCCGCUGAAUUAUGUGGCUUAGGUCAUCAACAUCUGGUGGCCGCACAUACGUGCCUUGGAAGUUAUCGAGAAAUGCGGCUUCCAGGUCUUCCCAACUCCCAAUUGACUCUGCUGGCAAGCUGUUAAGCCAAUGCUGGGCUGGUCCUUUAAGCUUGAGGGGGAGAUAUUUGAUGGCGUGAAGAUCGUCACCGCGGGCCAUAUGGAUGUGAAGGAGAUAGUCUUCGAUCAAACCGCGGGGUCUGUUGUGCCAUCGUAAGAUUCAAUAUUCACGGGUUUAAACCCUUCGGGGAUUUGAUGAUCCAUUACUUCAUCUGUGAAGCAUAGUGGGUGUGCGGCGCCUCUGUACUGGGCGAUAUCGCGACGGAGCUCAAAAGAGCUUUGUCUGUUUUGUUCGGCCCGGCCGGACUUACUGUGUCCGGCGCGACGGUUGUCAUCACGUAUCAUGGGGCGCCCAUGCGAUCCAUAGAUCGAUCUUGAUUGUCUUGACCUAUCCUCCAAUAUAUCUCGCAAGUCCGGAGCGUUCCCCUGUGGCCUUGUGCUUUUCGAGCGAUGCCGGGGUACGGGUCUAGUGAAGGGCCUAGAGGCCUCUCUGUCGCGACCACGGGGUGGUCAAUCAGCCGUAUUGUCUCCUGGUGAUGCGGGUUCAUAUGCCUCCUCCUCUAAUCGGGGGAGCAGCUUGCGUUUAGGGUAGCUUUUGGAGGGGCAUUUGAUCUCAUGCUCUUCGGCCGCGACGACUUCAGUCCAUCUGUCGGCUAGCAGAUCUUGAUCAGCUCUAAGCUGUUGCUGCUUUUUCUUCAGGCUGUUCGCCAUGGCCAUAAGCCUGCGUUUGAAACGCUCCUGUUCGACGGGAUCCUCAGGCACGACGAAUUCAUCAUCGUCGAGGCUUGCCUCGUCUCCGGAGGGAGGCAUGUAGUCCUCUACCUCUUCUUCUGCCGCUCUCUCAUGAGGGCUGGCGUCUCCGUCCUCCUGCGCUGGAUCUUGCUGGAGUGGAUUGUCUUCGGCUCUGUCCGGUGUAUUAUUAUCUCCAGUGCCAAAAUCUUCGUUCUUGCUGUGGCGGGAUUUAGAGCGGCGCCGCUGGCGCCGACGCUUGGGCUGUUUCUUGGAGGGGUCAUCCUCCGCUGCCCCUUCGCCAUUCCCAUCCUUUGGGAUAUCCACCAUGUAUAUGUCAUAUGAUGAGGUGGCUUUCCAGUGCCCAAUAGGCGCUGGUUCUUGGUCGUCUUCGGCAUCGUCGUCCAUAUCGUCGAUGUCUUCGAAGUCGUAGUCUAGCAUGUCGGUUAGGUCAUCGACAGUGGCUACCAAGUGGGUGGUGGAUGGGCUUUGAAUUUCUUCGUCAUCCGCAUCCCAACCGUCCUGGCCGCAGUCCGGCCAGGGCUCUCCUGAUAACGAGAGAUACUUCAGCGAACUCAAGAUGUCGCCAAAAGGUGAGUGUUGAAAGAUGUCCGCCGCGGUGAACUCCAUGAUCGUCGCCCAAUCGGAUUCGAUCGGAGGGGGCGCGGGAGGUUCGGGGUCCGGCGAGGAGUCCGACACCUCGGAGUCACAAGCUUCGUGAGGGACAAGAUCAGUGUUCGGCUCUAUCGCCGUAGAGGUUGCAGCCCCCGAGGCGAUGUCUAGCCAUCCGUCCUCGAUCUGCGCAGCCGGCUCUGAAUUGAAGAUCAGAGCGGGCUCGAGUGCGGCCUCCAGGGUACUGUCCGGCAGCAGAGCUAAAUCAUGCCCAUCGUGAUAGUGCGGCACGCUCGGCUGUGGCUCGAAUCCAUCGAGGAUCAAGUCCCCAAGGAUGUCGGUCGUGCAGUUCAAACUUCCGAAUCUGACCUGACGGCCAGGGGCGUAGCUUUCGAUCUGCUCUAGAUGGCCAAGCGAAUUGGCCCGCAGUGCAAAGCCGCCGAAUACAAAGAUUUUCCCGGGGAGGAAGGUCUCACCCUAGACUACGUCGUUGAUGACGAUCGAAGAAGCCAUCGAGCCUAUUGGCGACGACACAGAGGAACUCUCAAUGAAAGCACCAAUGUCGGUGUCAAAACCGGCGGAUCUCGGGUAGGAGGUCCCGAACUGUGCGUCUAGGCGGAUGGUAACAGGAGACGAGGGACACGAUGUUUUACCUAGGUUCGGGCCCUCUUGAUGGAGGUAAAACCCUACGUCCUGCUUGAUUAAUAUUGAUGAUGUGUGUUACAAGAGUAGAUCUACCACGAGAUCAAGGAGGCUAGACCCUAGAAGCUAGCCUAUGGUAUGAUUGUUGUUCAUCCUACGGACUAAAGCCAUCCGGUUUAUAUAGACAUCGGAGAGGGCUAGGGUUACAUAGAGUCGGUUACAAUGGUAGGAGAUCUACAUAUCCGUAUCACCAAGCCUGCCUUCCACGCCAAGGAAAGUCCCAUCCGGACACGGGACGAAGUCUUCAAUCUUGUAUCUUCAUAGUCUUGGAGUCCGGCCGAUGAUGAUAGUUCGGCUAUCCGGACACCCCCUAGUCCGGAACUGCCUCAACGCUGCUCUUAGGAAGAUGGCGGUUGCAUUCAAGAACCACAAGAAUCGUGAAUGGGACAAGUACGUCAAGGGAGGAAGGAAGACUCCAGUAUUCGAGGGAACACUAGAGAACCAACGUGCUCAUUGGGACGAUUUCAUGAAAUUCAAGGAUUCGGAAUUAGCUAAGGAACGGUCGAGAAUAAAAAAGAAGAAUGCCGAAAAAAGGAUAAGUUCCAUAAGCUGGGGCCAGGUGGCUAUGCGGUGGCAAUGCCUAAGUGGGAUAAAUCUGAGAAAGAGAUGGAGGAUGCAGGUGUCACUCCGGUUACUAAGAGCUGGCCCCCCAGGUGCGGGAUUGGUUCUAUGCGCAUAGGGGGGAGUUGGACCCAAAGACAGGCAAUGUUUCGACGAGGGCAAGUCUGAAGGGCGCCGACGAUGCGAUACUUGUUGCAAUAGAAGAGGCAUGAUCGGGGGUGUUCCAGCCCAACAGAUAGAACAACGAGCUUACGCGUGCCCUGGGAAAUCCUGAACACCCGGGAAGAACACGAGGCAAGGGCGCUAUUCCGUGGUAUGAGGGGUUUUCAGACUGGAACACCGACUACAGAACCCGUGCGAGAAAGAAGAUUGCGGAGGAGAAGAAGAGGAAGAUGGAGGAGGAGCAGAGGAAGCGGGACUAUGAAUGCCUUCAAGGCCUAGAAGCAAGUCAAGCCGAAUUGGCAGUCAAAUUCCAGCGGCAGCAGGAGCAGAUCGACUCACUUAUCCAGCAAAGGGGGUCUCAGCAGCUGCAACAACUAGCGAAUGAUCCAACAUUGGAUAGCACCGCCCCAUCCAUGCCGAGAAGCAGCGUGGGUUCCACCCCGGACGAUGCAAUGCUGGAUAGAUACCCCGUGGAUGACAUCACGGAUAACACUAACUGCGAGCUACACGUCAAAAUGAAGAACAUAUCCAUGAAGGUGGCGGACGCCGUUGCUUUUACAAAUCCCCCCGAGGCAAACUUCCAUUGCAACCCGAUUCCAGCGGGCUAUGCGCGUGUCUUGGUUGAUGAGGUGGUGGACCCAUAUUCGGAGCUACAACUUGACUAUCCUGGAGGUGACGACGAGCACUUUCUCGGAGAGGCCAAACAUCGUAUCAUCCUAUGGAAAAAGGAUUGCAUCAUCUUUCGAUGGCCACCGACACCGCGUCAGCCGACUCCUCGUCGAAGUCCGCCACCGAGUCAGCAGACUCCAGCUUCUGCAAGUCCACCAAGUCCGGCAAAGUGUCAGGCCACUCCUCCUCCAAGUCCGGCAAAGUGUCAGGCCACUCCUCCUCCUCCAAGUCUGUCACAGCGUCAGAAGUCCACUCCUCCUCCAAGUCCGGCACAACCUCAGGCCACUCCUCCUCCAAGUCCGGCACAGCUUUAGGCCACUCUUCCUCGUCCAACUCAGCCCCGUCAGCCGUCUCCGCCGCCUCAGCAAUCGCAGAAGAGACACCCCGCAGCUAUGGUGCGUAGCGGUACGAGUCGAGGUAGUACAGGAAGUACAGGCGUAGGCAAGCGAUAUAAAUAUGGUCCAAGCCUCACGCCUCUUCCGUAGAGGCCUUAUGACAAGUCCGAGGAGGAAAACGCAGCCAUGUCGAAGGCCGAGGUGGAAGCCCAUUUUGCACCGAAACCGCCACCGCCGCCAAGGGAGAAAGUGCCUGAGAAAACGAUUGACCACUUCAUUCGUAUGGCUCAACCACCAGCUCCCAAGCCUGUUGACACAGACUAUGAGCGCCACAUCAGGAAGUUAAAUCGAGCACAUCUACGUAAGGAGGCGAGCUCGGGAUCGAGCAAACAACAAGCAGCUGUCAAAAAAUGCGGGAAAACCAUUCCCCAGCUGGGAGAACAGGCGGCGCAAUCGAUCCCCUCGCUUGUUGUGCCAACAACACGUGACAGUACGCGUGCCCAAUAUUAUUGUGGGCAAACAAUUUACGUUCCCGAGGUGGGCAAUGUGGUAAUAACCAAGGACCAUAUAAUGCAGGCUGAAGUUCUCAACAUCAUUAUUGGACAACUCCUCGAGAUCGAGCCCAUGCCUGUGCUUACAGAGGAUGAAAUAAAACGGAAAUAUGUCCGGGGCCAACCUUUGGUCGAGCCAGACAAGGUCAAGAACCUCCCAACGAGAAUGUAUGAAUUGCAUCAAUGGUACAUGGACAUUACCAAGAUUUCCGAUCGAUUGUCCCUCAUGGUGAAUGUCAAGGAGGAGCAUUACUUCCAUGAAAAAGCUCUGUCCGUUGAGUAUUCUGAACUGUUUUAGUUAUACUAUCAAGACGCACUCGACAAAUCUAUCGUCAGUUGCUAUUGUCUGUAAGUGAUUUCUUUCUGUAAUUUAAGUCUCAAGCUAGCUGUAGUGAUCCUUUUGAUCAAUCAUUACCUGUAAUUAUCCUCACUAUAUUAUUUUUUGUGGUAUUAUGCAGGAUGAAGAUGUAUGAAAUGAGAAAAGAUGGACGCUUUGGCAUUGGGUUCAUUGACCCAAACACCGCUAAUGAAUACACAUGGCUAAUAAAUCCACAUCAUGAAAAGGCCGUAGAGGACAACAUGCUAGAGUUCUUGAAGCGCCUCAAAUACAAUGAAGAUAUACUACUUCCUUACAACUUCCAGUGAGUCACACUGUCUUGUACUACAAAUUCUCUGUUUUUGCCUACUAGCUAGCUACAUGUUUUUUCUUACAUAUGCCCGCUUAAUUAAGACAUGCAAAUGUGUGUGCAUGCAGAUUUCACUGGAUGUUGUGUAUCAUUAAAGUUGAGGCCGGAACAGUUGAAAUACUGGACUCACUACUCAAAGAAAAUACUGACUAUAACAUCUUGUUUGGGAUAGUCAACAGGUAAUUUCAAUCAUUAUUAACUAUAUAUCUCGGCCUAUUUAGUUCGUCAUUUCAUGAUAUGAACUAUUUAAUAACCCCUUUAUUCAUUUUCUUUGUCGGCGGGCAGGGCUUGGGCAAGGUUCAUCAGCGUCAUGGAAGGCGAAUGGAAAAAAAGCUUAAAUGGUUUCGACCCAAGGUAAGUAAUUAAGUAGUACUAGCUAGCUAGCUAGCUGCCAUCUUUUUAAUUAUCAUGCUUGAUUAAUUAUUAUCUGAUCAAAUUCCAUUCUCGUAAAGGCCCUGAAGCAGGCGCAGGGGACUGAUCUGUGUGCAUUCUGCGUUUGCGAGAACAUUCGCAUGGUGGCGUCCGAAAGGAGCAGAUCUCAAAGACAGGAAUGGGUACGGUUGUCAGAACACUAUUCACAAUUUUUACACCAUUAUCGAUAUCUAGUCACACAACUAAUACACAUGCAUAUUGAUCUCCUUCUUAACAGUUCAGAGAGAUGCAGAAGAAGCUCCUAGAAACGGAGCGCGUAGAAGCACUUUAAGAGGAAAUAGCGGGAUAUUUGCUCGACCAGAUCAUAAAUCCGAAGGGAGAAUACUAUUACCCGCUACCGCCCCCAUGAAAACCACUUCCAAUUGUCAUCGUGCUCCGAAGGCACCAAUUAGGCUAAUGCCACUGCCUCCGAAGGCAACAUGCAUAUAUAGGAGAAAUUGUAUAUAGCUAUACAUGUGUGUAUGUGUGAAUUAAUUAAUAUGGUGGUUUGUGAGACAUUGAUGAUAUAUAUAUGCAUGAUUGGUUCUACUAGANNNNNNNNNNNNNNNNNNNNNNNNNNNNNNNNNNNNNNNNNNNNNNNNNNNNNNNNNNNNNNNNNNNNNNNNNNNNNNNNNNNNNNNNNNNNNNNNNNNNNNNNNNNNNNNNNNNNNNNNNNNNNNNNNNNNNNNNNNNNNNNNNNNNNNNNNNNNNNNNNNNNNNNNNNNNNNNNNNNNNNNNNNNNNNNNNNNNNNNNNNNNNNNNNNNNNNNNNNNNNNNNNNNNNNNNNNNNNNNNNNNNNNNNNNNNNNNNNNNNNNNNNNNNNNNNNNNNNNNNNNNNNNNNNNNNNNNNNNNNNNNNNNNNNNNNNNNNNNNNNNNNNNNNNNNNNNNNNNNNNNNNNNNNNNNNNNNNNNNNNNNNNNNNNNNNNNNNNNNNNNNNNNNNNNNNNNNNNNNNNNNNNNNNNNNNNNNNNNNNNNNNNNNNNNNNNNNNNNNNNNNGUAGUAUCGUAAAAUACCAGCAAACGAAAAAGAAUUAAAAUGGAAACACAAAAUUAAAUGAAAAAGAAAUCAUAAAACUAAAAAAACCCCAAACCUUAUAGUACCGGUUGGUCUUACCAACCGGUACUAAAGGGCUCCAGGCCCCCGGAGCUGGCUCGUGCCACGUGGUUGACUUUUAGCACCGGUUCGUGCUGAACAGGUACUAAAGCGGGGGGAGGGGGGCUUUAGUGCCCACACUUUCGUGCCGGUUAUGGAACCGGCACUAAAGGGCCUUACGAACCGGUGCUAUUGCCCGGUUCUGCACUAGUGCGUCCCGGCCAUGGAGAACGUGCACGGCGCGCUUGCCGUGGCCGGGCUGGGUGAAGCCGUAAAGGUCACGACGGCCAUAUCGCAGGCCACCAUUGCCGUCCACGUGCUGCCGUCAGCGGUGAGUUCGCCGACGAGUCCAAGCCGUUCCUGCUCCCCGUGCUGCAGUUCCUGGAGCGCAUCGGCGCGCUGCUCCUUGCGAACCUAUACCCGUACUUCGUCUACACGUACAAGGCCGCCGGCGACAUGGACGUCGGCUUCAUGCUGUUCACGGCGCCGGGGACGGUGGUGCAGGACGGCGAGUACGGGUACCAGAACAUGUUCGACGCGAGCGUGGACGCGGUGCAUGCAGCGGUGGAGCGGCUCGGGGUGAGCGGCGUGGACGUGGUGGUNNNNNNNNNNNNNNNNNNNNNNNNNNNNNNNNNNNNNNNNNNNNNNNNNNNNNNNNNNNNNNNNNNNNNNNNNNNNNNNNNNNNNNNNNGGAGAACGCGAGGACGUACAACCAGAACCUGGUGGGUCACGUGGGGAAGGGCACGCGGCGGCGGCCGUGGAAGGUGAAGACGUACGUGUUCUCCAUGUUCAACGAGAACCUCAAGGAGGCCGGCGUUGAGCAGAACUGGGGCCUCUUCUAUCCCAGCACCGGUAGGGUCUACCCCAUCACCUUCGACAAGUGAAGAAGUUAGAUUGAGUCCAUGGGUGCGUCGUCCAUCCAUGUACGCGGCCAUGAUCAUUGUCCGAUAGACGUGUAUAUACAGUAUAUAUAUUUAUUGAGUGUGUAUUUGUGUGGCCGAAUUUUAACAUUUGAUUUAAUUUACACUUUUCGGUACACCCUCUAAACACAAGGACGGUUCAGAUUAGCCCAUACUCUUCAUAAGAAAGGGUAUGCUAGUCAUAUUUUAUAAACUCUUCGCCCGCCAUGUACGUAUACAUCGUACAUGGAGUAGCGUCACACACCCCUUCGCCCCUGUCCCAGUCCUCUUGGAUCACUUCCACCCACUAUAACCAAACUGGGAUAGCUCACUUGUUGUGCCUAAUUACCUCUUUUAUUCUUGUUGUUGUGCAUCUUCUCAGUCUGGUUUUCUUUUUAUUUUUCCUUUUGUUUUGCUUUUUUUUCUUCAGUUUCAUUUUGUUUUUUAUUUUUGUUUAUUUCUUCUUAUUUUAAACUUUCCUUUCUCAUUUUCAAAUUUAUGAACCUUUUUCAAAUCCAUGAAACUUAUUUUUCCAAUCCAUUUUUUUCAAAUGAAUGAAUGUUUUUUAUUUUGCAAACUUUUUCAGAUUCAUGAUGUUUUAUGUCAAAUUCAUGAUUUUUUAAAUUGACAAAAAAAUUCAAUUUCACAAACUUUUUCCAAAUCGUGAACUUUUUUUGGUCAAAUUUAUUAACUUCUUUGUCAAAUUCGUGUUUUUUUAAAUCUAUGAACCUUUUCAAUUUCAUAGAAUUUUUUGUCACAUUCCUGUACUUUUUUCAAAUCAAUGAUUUUUUGUAAACUUGUCAACUUUUCUUUAAUCUCUAGAUGUGCGGUAGAAACCGAAAACUUGGUUUUUACCAUUCUAUUUAUUCUAAAUUUCGGAUAGCAAAACAAUAAACCGAAAGAACAGCAAAAGCAGCUAACCGAUAAUUCAAUUAACCGGCUUAUUCGAUUCGGUGUUCAGUUUACACCGAGAAAACUUGUCAAACGUGUUGCUUUUUAUUAUGAUACUCCGUCGCAUCAUAUAGAAGAGCUCUGCGCCCCCAUUUUCGGAGAUCAGUGGGGCGGGACUAAAUUGGGCGCUAUGGGAGGCUGGGUGCACGCUUGACCGAAAGGCUCUCGCAGGUUUGGGCCUUCUAGUCGAGUCAGCCCAUGUGGCAUACUCGCUACUUAGCGUGGGCUUGGCCGGUUGGGUCCUUAGAGCAUCUCCAGCAGCGCCCCCCAACAGGCCGCCCAGGGCGACUUUUUUCGCGCCAACGCCGAACNNNNNNNNNNNNNNNNNNNNNNNNNNNNNNNNNNNNNNNNNNNNNNNNNNNNNNNNNNNNNNNNNNNNNNNNNNNNNNNNNNNNNNNNNNNNNNNNNNNNNNNNNNNNNNNNNNNNNNNNNNNNNNNNNNNNNNNNNNNNNNNNNNNNNNNNNNNNNNNNNNNNNNNNNNNNNNNNNNNNNNNNNNNNNNNNNNNNNNNNNNNNNNNNNNNNNNNNNNNNNNNNNNNNNNNNNNNNNNNNNNNNNNNNNNNNNNNNNNNNNNNNNNNNNNNNNNNNNNNNNNNNNNNNNNNNNNNNNNNNNNNNNNNNNNNNNNNNNNNNNNNNNNNNNNNNNNNNNNNNGGGGUGCGCUCGGGGGCUCCGGCAGAAGGAAAAAACACGCCUGGGCCACACUGUCAGGCGAAAAGACAAGGCAAUCGUCCAGAUUCGCCCUCCACCGCCGCGCGCUCGGCCACCACCCUGCCGAUUGAUGUCUACUACACAACCUUCUUCUUGUAGACGUUGUUGGGGCUGCAAGUGCACAGGUUUGUAGGACAGUAGCAAAUUUUCCUCAAAUGGAUGACCUAAGGUUUAUUAAUCCGUAGGAGGCGUAGGAUGAAGAUGGUCUCUCUCAAACAACCUUGCAACCAAAUAACAAAGAGUCUCUUGUGUCCCCAACACACCCAAUACAAUGGUCAAUUGUAUAGGUGCACUAGUUCGGCGAAGAGAUGGUGAUACAAGUGCAAUAUGGAUGAUAGAUAUAGGUUUUUGUAAUCUGAAAUAAUAAAAACAGCAAGGUAACAAGUGGUAAAAGUGAGCGUAAACGGUAUUGCAAUGAUAGGAAACAAGGCCUAGGGUUCAUACUUUCACUAGUGCAAGUUCUCUCAACAAUAAUAACAUAGAUAGAUCAUAUAACAAUCCCUCAACAUGCAACAAAGAGUCACUCCAAAGCCACUAAUAGCGGAGAACAAACAUAGAGAUUAUGGUAGGGUACGAAACCACCUCAAAGUUAUUCUUUCGGACCGAUCUAUUAAAGAGUUCGUACUAGAAUAACACCUUAAGACACAAAUCAACCAAAACCCCAAUGUCACCUAGAUACUCCAUUGUCACCUCAAGUAUCCGUGGGCAUGAUUAUACGAUAUGCAUCACACAAUCUCUGAUUCAUGCAACCAACACAAAGUACUUCAAAGAGUGCCCCAAAGUUUCUACCGGAGAGUCAAGAACGUGUGCCAACCCCUAUGCAUAGGUUCAUGGCGAAACCCGCAAGUUGGUCACCAAAACAUACAUCAAGAGGCACAUGAUAUCCCAUUGUCACCACAGAUAAACACGACAAGACAUACAUCAAGUGUUCUCAAAUAAAGACUCAAUCCGAUAAGAUAACUUCAAAGGGGAAACUCAAUUCAUCACAAGAGAGUAGAGGGGGAGAAACAUCAUAAGAUCCAACUACAAUAGCAAAGCUCGGGAUACAUCAAGAUCGUGCCAUACGAGAGAGAACACGAGAGAGAGAGAGAGAUCAAACACAUAGCUACUUGUACAUACCCUUAGCCCCGAGGGUGAACUACUCCCUCCUCGUCACGGAGAGCGCCGGGAUGAUGAAGAUGGCCACCGGUGAAGGAUUCCCCCCUCCGGCAGGGUGCCGGAACCGGCCCCCGAAAGGUUUUUGGUGGCUACAGAGGCUUGCGGCGGCGGAACUCCCGAUCUAUCUUGAUUUCUGAUAUUUUUAGGGUAAGUAGGCAUAUAUAGGCGAAAGAAGUCGGCCGGGGGGUGCUCGAGGGGUCCACGAGACAGGGGGCUGCACCCUGUAGGGGGGGGGGCUAUCUCCUGGGCUCCUCGAGGAUCUUCUGACUUGAUCUCCAAGCCUCCAGGAUGAUAUUCUUCCAAAAAAUCACGAUGCCGAAGGUUUCAUUCCGUUUGGACUUCGUUUGAUAUUCCUUUUCCUCGAAAUACUAAAACAGGCAAUAAAACAGCAAUAUGGGCUGGGCCUCCGUUUAAUAGGUUAGUCCCAAAAGUAAUAUAAAAGUGUAUAAUAAAGCCCAUAAUCAUUCAAAACACAUAGUAAUGUAGCAUGAAUGCUUCGUAAUUUAUAGAUACGUUGGAGACGUAUCAGCAUCCCCAAGCUUAAUUCCUACUCGUCCUUGAGUAGGUAAAUGAUAAAAGAAAGAAUUUAUGAAGUGUGAAUGCUAGAAGGUGCACAAGUUUGAUCAAUGAUAAUAUGUCAUAACAGUAGUUCAUCUCAUAAAACUUCUCACGAUAAAGUAACAAGCAAUUCACAUGUCAAAGAAUAGACCAUAAACUUUCUUGAAAACUAGCAAACUUCAUUCUUAGUCAUCAAAACAAUUGCAAUUCAUCCUAUUUUUAGGAAGGGUUUAUGUCAGAGCUUUAAUUUAGCAAACUUCACAUACUAAACUAUCAUAUAGUCUUCUACAAUUGCUAAAACUCACGCAAUACUUGUGGUUAUGAAGUUUUAAUCAGACACAGAGAAAGAUUGGGGCUUAUAAUGUUGCCUCCAAACGUAUUCACCUUUGGGUGAUGUCAACAAUAAUAGUUCAUGCUAACGUACAUCCAAUUGGAUAUAUAUAUCAGGAUCACCCUAACACAAAGUGCUUGCCAAAGGAUAAAAUGAAAAAGGGAAAGGUGAAGAUCACCUUGACUCUUGCAUAAAAGUAAAAGAUAGGCCCUUCGCAGAGAGAAUCAGAGGUUGCCAUGCGCUUUUAGGGUUGGAUACACAAAAUCUUAAUGCAAAAGAACGUCACUUUAUAUUGCCCCUUGUAUAUGGACCUUUAUUAUGCAGUCCGUUGCUUUUAUUGCUUCCAUAAGAAGUUCAUACAAAGCUUAUUUUCUCCGCACUAAUAAGUCAUGCAUAUUUAGAGAGCAAUUUUUAUUGCUUACACCGAUGACAACUUACUUGAAGGAUCUUACUCAAUCCAUAGGUAGAUAUGGUGGACUCUCAUGGCAAAACUGGGUUUGAGGAUAUUUGGAAGCACAAGUAGUAUCUCUACUUGGUGCUAGGAAUUUCUGGCUAGCAUUAGGGGGAAAGGCAAGCUCAACAUGUUUGAAUGAUCCAUGACAAUAUACUUUGAUUGAGAUGCGAGGAAACAUAACCCAUUACGUUGUCUUACUUGCCCAACAUCAAGUCUUUAGCAUGUCAUACUUAAUGAGUGCUCACAAUUAUAAAAGAUGUCUAUGAUAAUAUAUUUAUAUGUGAAAUCUCUUUUCCUUCAAUAUUCUUUCAUGAAUUGUUCAAAUGACUAAUACAAUGCUUGCUAACCGUCAAUAAAUUUACAACCUCUACUUCUUAGAUGUGAAGUCAUUACUCCCCAUGGAGUAAGCAAAUGAAACGUAUAUAAUUUCAUAUUUAUGACAUUCAACUCAUUCAACCAUUUACUCAAGUGAAGCACAAGAGUAAAUGACAAACUACUCCAAAAAGAUAUAAGUGAAGAUCAAUGAGUAGCUAAAUAAUUAUGCAACUAUAUGAAGACUCUCUCUCAUUUAAGAAUUUCAGAUCUUGGGAUUUUAUUCAAACAGCAAGCAAAAUAAAAUAAAAUUACAUUGCAAGGAUAGCACAACUCAUGUGAAGAAGCAAAAACUUAGGCUCGACCGAUACUAACCGAUAGUUGUUGAAGAAGAAAGGUGGGAUGCCUACCGGGGCAUCCCCAAGCUUAGAUGCUUGAGACUUAUUGAAAUAUUAUCUUGGGGUGCAUUGGGCAUCCCCAAGCUUGAACUUUGUGUCUCUUUAAUUCCUCUCGUGUCAUGGUUUCUUUUUAUCAAAAAGCUUCAUUCACAACAAACUCAACAAGAACCCGUGAGGUAGGUUAGUAUAAACCAAUGCAAAACCUUAUCAUUUUCUACUGUAAAAAAUCACUAAAAUAAUUAUUCAACAUUGAAUAAUAAAUUCCUCUGCAUAUUUAAUACUCCUAUCAUCAAAUAGAAUCAUUAAACAAUCAAACAUAUGCAAACAAUGCAAACAUAACAGCAAUCUGCAAAAACAGUAUAGUCUGUAAAGAAUGCAAGAUUCAUCAUACUUACCUAACUCCAAAAAUUAUUAAAGAAAAUUCCCACUGUAAUAAAUUUAUCAGAGCUCAAUAUGAAAAAGAUUUCAACAUUAUACCAUUCUCUGACUUUUCUAGGGAAUUUUUGCAAUAGCGGUAAACUUUCUGUUUUCAAACAGCAACAUGUAUACUAGCAAAAUAAGCAUGGCAAAGGCUAUCCUUGACAUUUUUAUUGAAACAAGAGAUGAAAAACAUUAUUCUAAAUAACAUCAAGCAAAUGCUAACAAAAUAAAAUGACGCUCCAAGCAAAACACAUAUCAUGUGGUGAAUAAAAAUAUAGCUCCAAGUAAAGUUACCGAUGAACGAAGACGAAAGAGGGGAUGCCUUCUGGGGCAUCCCCAAGCUUAGGCUCUUGGUUGUCCUUGAAUAUUACCUUGGGGUGACUUGGGCAUCUCCAAGCUUAGGCUCUUUCCACUCCUUAUUCCAUAGUCCAUCGAAUCUUUACCCGAAACUUGAAAACAUCAACCACACAAAACUCAAAACAAAACUCGUAAGCUCCGUUAGUAUAAGAAAAUAAAACCACCACAUAAGUACUGUAAUGAACUCAUUCUACAUUCAUAUUGGUGUAAAACCUACUUUAUUCCAACUUCUCCAUGGUUCAUACCACUUAAUACUACCCAUAGAUGCAUCAAAAUAAGCAAACAACACAAUGAAAACAGAAUCUGUCAAAAACAGAACAGUCUGUAGUAAUAUGUAUCAAACGUAUACUUCUGGAACUCAAACAAUUCUAAAAUAAAUUUCUUCACCUGAGGAAUUUGUCUAUUAAUCAUCUUCAAAAAGAAUCAACCUAAAAUCACUCUCCAGUAAAAAAUGGCAGCUAAUCUCGUGAGCGCUAAAGUUUAUGUUUUCUACAGCAAGAUCACAUAAACUUCACCCAAGUCUUCCCAAAGGUUCUACUUGGCACUAUAUUGAAACAAAAGCUAUAAAACAUGAUUAAUACAGUAGCAUAAUCAUGUGGACACACAAAAACAGUAAGGAUAAAUAUUGGGUUGUCUCCCAACAAGCGCUUUUCUUUAAUGCCUUUCUAGCUAGGCAUGAUGAUGACAAUGAUGCUCACAUAAAAGAUAAGAAUUGAAACAUAAAGAGAGCAUCAUGAAGAAUAUGACUAUCACAUUUAAGUCUAACCCACUUCCUAUGCAUAGGGAUUUUGUGAGCAAACAACUUAUGGGAACAAUAAUCAACUAGCAAAGGAAGAUAAAACAAGCAUAGCUUCAAGAUUUUAAGCACAUAGGGAGGAAACUUGAUAUUAUUGCAAUUCCUACUAGCAUAUAUUACUCCCUCAUAAUAAUAUUCAGUAGCAUCAUGAAUGAAUUCAAAAAUAUAACCAGCACCUAAAGCAUUCUUUUCAUGAUCUACAAGCAUAGAAAAUUUACUACUCUCAACAUAAGCAAAUUUCUUCUCAUGAAUAGUAGUGGGAGCAAACUCAACAAAAUAACUAUCAUGUGAGGCAUAAUCCAAUUGAAAAAUAAAAUCAUGAUGACAAGUUUCAUGGAUAUCAUUAUUAUUAAUAGCAUACAAGUCAUCACAAUAAUCAUCAUAGAUAGCAACUUUGUUCUCAUAAUCAAUUGGAACCUCUUCCGAAAUAGUGGAAUCAUCACUAAAUAAAGUUGACACUCUUCCAAAUCCACUUUCAUGUUCAUCACAAUAAGAUUCAACAUCCUCCAAAAUAGUGGGAUCACUACUUCCUAAAGUUGACACUCUUCCAAACCCACUUUCAUCAAUAUAAUCAUCAUAAGUAGGAGGCAUGCUAUCAUCAAAAUAAAUUCGCUCAUCAAAACUUGGGGGACAAAAAAUAUCAUAUUCAUCAAACAUAGCUUCCCCAAGCUUGUGGCUUUGCAUAUCAUUAGCAUCAUGGAUAUUCAAGGAAUUCAUACUAACAACAUUGCAAUCAUUCUCAUCAUUCAAAGAUUUAGUGUCAAACAUUCUAUAGAUUUUUUCUUCUAGCACGUGAGCACAAUUUUCCUUACCAUCAUACUCACGAAAGAUAUUAAAAAGACGAAGUGUAUGAGACAAACUUAACUCCAUUUUUUUGUAAUUUUCUUUUAUGAACUAAACUACUGAUAAAACAAGAAACAAAAAGAUUCGAUUGCAAGAUCUAUUGCAAGAUCUAAAGAUAUACCUUCAAGCACUCACCUCCCCGGUAAGGGCGCCAGAAAAGAGCUUGAUGUCUACUACACAACCUUCUUCUUGUAGACGUUGUUGGGCCUGCAAGUGCACAGGUUUGUAGGACAAUAGCAAAUUUCCCUCAAGUGGAUGACCUAAGGUUUAUCAAUCCGUAGGAGGCGUAGGAUGAAGAUGGUCUCUCUCAAACAACCCUGCAACCAAAUAACAAAGAGUCUCUUGUGUCCCCGACACACCCAAUACAGUGGUAAAUUGUAUAGGUGCACUAGUUCGGCGAAGAGAUGGUGAUACAAGUGCAAUAUGGAUGAUAUAUAUAGGUUCUUGUAAUCCAAAAUAAUAAAAACAGCAAGGUAACAAGUGGGAAAAGUGAGCGUAAACGGUCUUGCAAUGAUAGGAAACAAGGCCUAGGGUUCAUACUUUCACUAGUGCAAGUUCUCUCAACGAUAAUAACAUAGAUAGAUCAUAUAACAAUCCCUCAACAUGCAACAAAGAGUCACUCCAAAGCCACUAAUAGCGGAGAACAAACGUAGAGAUUAUGGUAGGGCACGAAACCACCUCAAAGUUAUUAUUUCGGAUCGAUCUAUUAAAGAGUUCGUACUAGAAUAACACCUUAAGACACAAAUCAACCAAAACCCCAAUGUCACCUAGAUACUCCAUUGUCACCUCAAGUAUCCGUGGGCAUGAUUAUACGAUAUGCAUCACACAAUCUCAGAUUCAUCCAACCAACACAAAGUACUUCAAAGAGUGCCCCAAAGUUUCUACUGGAGAUUCAAGAACGUGUGCCAACCCCUAUGCAUAGGUUCAUGGGCAGAACCCGCAAGUUGGUCACCAAAACAUACAUCAAGAGGCACAUGAUAUCCCAUUGUCACCACAGAUAAACACGGCAAGACAUACAUCAAGUGUUCUCAAAUAAAGACUAAAUCCGAUAAGAUAACUUCAAAGGGGAAACUCAAUUCAUCACAAGAGAGUAGAGGGGGAGAAACAUCAUAAGAUCCAACUACAAUAGCAAAGCUCGGGAUACAUCAAGAUCGUCCCAUACAAGAGAGAACACGAGAGAGAGAGAGAGAGAUCAAACACAUAGCUACUGGUACAUACCCUCAGCCCUGAGGGUGAACUACUCCCUCCUCGUCAUGGAGAGCGCCGGGAUGAUGAAGAUGGCCACCGGUGAAGGAUUCUCCCCUCCGGCAGGGUGCCGGAACGGGCUCCCGAAAGGUUUUCGGUGGCUACAGAGGCUUGUGGCGGCGGAACUCCCGAUCUAUCUUGAUUUCUGAUGUUUUUAGGGUACGUAGGCAUAUAUAGGCGAAAGAAGUCGGUCGGGGGGGUGGUCGAGGGGUCCACGAGACAGGGGGCCACGCCCUGUAUGGGGGGGGGGGGCGCCCCCUAUCUCCUGGGCUCCUCGAGGAUCUUCUGACUAGAUCUCCAAGCCUCCAGGAUGAUAUUCUUCCAAAAAAUCACGAUGCCAAAGGUUUCAUUCCGUUUGGACUCCGUUUGAUAUUCCUUUUCCUCGAAAUACUGAAACAGGCAAUAAAACAGCAAUAUGGGCUGGGCCUCCGGUUAAUAAGUUACUCCCAAAAGUAAUAUUAAAGUGUAUAAUAAAGCCCAUAAUAAUUCAAAACACAUAGUAAUAUAGCAUGAAUGCUUCAUAAAUUAUAGAUAUGUUGGAGACGUAUCACUGAUCCCAGCGCCACCCACCGCACAACACCGCUAGAUAGUCCAUUCCCCACCGCGAAAGAGAGAAGAUUUCGCCGCGGCAACCUCUCCACCAUCUUUCGGGCGAGUUUUUUGGCGCUGCGGUCGCGUAGUGCGGUAUACCGGUGGUUGUGCGCCCACCACGCCCGCCAGGUGUUUGGUGAUUUUUCUUCUCGGCGAUGGACUCGGAUGACAAGGAGGCGCUCGCGGCAUUGCUGGAGGAGGAAGCCGAUGCCGACGUCCAGGACGAGGAGCAUCUCAUGGUCCUCGCCACCCUCGUCGGCCUACUCGCGAGCAAUCAAAAGCUGUGGUGAGGUGGCUCGGCGCUGGGGUGGCUGAAAGCAAAUAUUCCUUGGCUCCCAUGGCGUGGGAGGGGCGAGAGCCCCUCCGAUAUUGGAUCUAUCUCUCUGUUUCUGCGUUCUCAGAUUCUGCCCCUUCAUCGUUUCUUUUAUAUCCGGAGAUCUGUAACUCUGAUUGGGGUGAAUCCUUCGCCAAGAUCUUUCUCAUAAAAUUAGCUUUCUUGCUGCAAAAGAGGAGCGUGAACCGCCUUACUGCUGGCCCAGGAGAGUCUAGGGCGCGCCUGCCUCCCUGGGGCGCGCCCCCUAUCUUCUGGCCCCCUCGGGCACCGUCUCGCGUUGAUUUUACUUCCCAAAAAUCAAAAAUAUUCCAAAAUAAUUCUCCGUCCGUUUUUAUCCCGUUUGGACUCCGUUUUAUAUGGGUUUUCUGCAAAACAUAAAACAUGCAACAAACAAGAACUGGCACUGGGCACUGCAUCAAUAUGUUAGUCCUAAAAAUAGUAUAAAAAGUUGCCAAAAGUAUAUGAAAGUUGAAUAAUAUUGGCAUGGAACAAUCAAAAAUUAUAGAUACGACGGAGACGUAUCAAUGAUAUCAUGCCAACUUGGAACCUUUUCAGAGUUCAUUUCAAAUGUUUUUCAAUUUCAUGGUCUUAUAGCUUAAAAUUAUCACUAAAUGCAUGAAAAAUAACAAAUGAAGUCAGAAAGGGUUGUAAAUUGAUGAUGCGGCUUUGAAUGGUGCAUUUUGAACACAGAAAAACAAGGGAGUUCAAAUAAGUUCAAAAAAAUUAAAUCUCUUUGUAACAGACGAGUUUCCGUAUGAAACCUUGAUACUUCAAAAGAGAUUGUCUGUUUUGUACACGAAGUGUAUCCAGUUUUUGCCGUAACCCUCUCUACUUUCUCGCACAUGCUAUGUGGGUGAAAGGAUGAUACCAUGCCAACUUGGAACCUUUUCAGAGUUCAUUUCAAAUGCUUUUCAAUUUCAUGGUCUUAUAGCUCAAAGUAAUCAGUAAAUGCGUGAAAAAUAACAAAUGAAGUCAGAAAGGGUUGUAAAUUGAUGAUGUGGCUUUGAAUGGUGCAUUUUGAACACAGAAAAACAAUGGAGUUCAAAUAAGUUCAAAAAAUGAAAUCCCUUUGUAAUAGACGAGUUUCCGUAUGAAACCCUGAUACUUCGAAAGAUAUUGUCCGUUUUGUACACGAAGUGCAUCCUGUUUUUGCCGUAACCCUCUCUACUUUCACGCACAUGCUAUGUGGGUGAAAUGAUGAUACCAUGCCAACUUGGAACCUUUUCAGAGUUAAUUUCAAAUGCUUUUCAAUUUCAUGGUCUUAUAGCUUAAAAUAAUCAGUAAAUGCAUGAAAAAUAACAAAUGAAGUCAGAAACAAAUAAAAUAAAAUAAAUAAGUAAUUUGAAACAAAAUAAUAUAAACUUUAAUAAAAUAGAUAAGUAGAAACAAAAAAAACUUUAAUAACAUAAAUAAAAUUUAUGAAACUAAAAUUAUCAAAGUAUUUUCUGUUCAAAACAUUAUAAGCAACCUCUANNNNNNNNNNNNNNNNNNNNNNNNNNNNNNNNNNNNNNNNNNNNNNNNNNNNNNNNNNNNNNNNNNNNNNNNNNNNNNNNNNNNNNNNNNNNNNNNNNNNNNNNNNNNNNNNNNNNNNNNNNNNNNNNNNNNNNNNNNNNNNNNNNNNNNNNNNNNNNNNNNNNNNNNNNNNNNNNNNNNNNNNNNNNNNNNNNNNNNNNNNNNNNNNNNNNNNNNNNNNNNNNNNNNNNNNNNNNNNNNNNNNNNNNNNNNNNNNNNNNNNNNNNNNNNNNNNNNNNNNNNNNNNNNNNNNNNNNNNNNNNNNNNNNNNNNNNNNNNNNNNNNNNNNNNNNNNNNNNNNNNNNNNNNNNNNNNNNNNNNNGAAUUUUCAUAAAGAACUUUUUUUGUUAGAAACUUUAAUAGCAAAAAGAAUUAUCAUAAAAUAAAAUUAAUAAGUAAUUAUAAACAAAAUAAAAUAAAAUAAAUAAGUAUUUUGUUGUAAGUAGAAACAAAACAAAAUAAAUAAAGCAAAAAAGAAAACAUAAAAAACUAGGAAAAAAUAAAAAAUUUGCCACCAACUGGGCCACCACGGCCUGAAUACGACUAGAAACCCAUCCAUGGGCCAGGAUUCAGGCAUAAUAGUAACAAUUAGGCCCGUAUGCCUGGAACGGAGAGGAUCUCGAGAGGGGUGCGGCAGUGGGGCUUAUAAACCACUGUGCGCCCCUCUAAACUAGUGAGGUGGGACUAAACUUUGGCCGCGACGCGGGCAGCACAGGGGUCUUUGGUCCCGGUUGGUGGCACCAACCGGGACUAAUGCACCCUUUAGUCCCGGUUCGUGCCACCAACCAGGACUAAAGGCCUUCCUAUAUAAGUUCACACUUAAGAAUUUUUCACUCUCAUCUCGCAGUUACCGCCACCGACGACGCCGGCGACAUCGACGCCGCCCGCCGUCCCGUCGUCGCCGUCGCCGUCGCUGUCGCUCGUGCCCUCGCUGUCGCCCGCUCCCCUGCCCCGACGCGCGCCACCCGCGCCGGCCCGGCCCGCCCCCGUCGUCUCCGUCGCCGUCGCCCCUACCCCGCCCCCAUCGUCGCCAUCGCCCCCGCCGUCGCCGUCGCCGUCCUCCUCACUUGGUCCGGCCGGCGCAGCAUUUUUUUUCAUAUAUAUAUAUAUAUAUGCUUAUUUUUUCAUAUGUAUAUGCUUGUUUUUUCAUAUAUAUGAUGAUAUAUAUUCUUGUUAUCAUAAUUGUUUUUUUCAUAUAUAUAUAUGAUGAUUUUUUAUAGAAUAUGAUGCUUUUUUUCAUAGAUGAUCACAUAUAUAUAUAUGAUGUAUGCAUGGAUGUGGAUGAAAUAUAUGAUAUUUUUUGUUCAUAGGACAUGAUGUUUUUUUAUUCAUAGUUUUUUUUCAUGAGAGAGGCGGGGACGUCGAGGGAUCAUAGAUGUAAUAUUUUCAGAAUUUUCUAUCGUGCAUAGACCAAUUUUAGACCACGGGAUAGGAAAAAAGAAAAUAAGAAGAGGAAGAAAGAAGAAGAGGAGAGGAAGAAGAGGAGAAAUAAAUAAGAAGAGGAAAAAAGAAGAAAAAGAAGUGGAGAAGAAGAAAGGAAUAGAGGAGAAAGAAGAAAAAGAAGAGGAGAAGAAGAAGAAAAAAAUGGAAAAAGGAAUAGAGGAGAAAGAAGAAAAAAAUGAAAAAAUUUCCAUUUGCUUCUUCUUUCUCCUCUAUUCCUUUCUUCUUCUCCUUUUUUUCUUCUUUUUUUUCUUCGAUUGCUUCUCUUCUAUUCCUUUCUUCUUCCCCUCUUUUUAUUUCUUCUUAUUUUUUAUCGGGUAUGUCAUUGUCGAUAUACCCUAUCCCGAUAACUUCAACACGAGGGGGGGUGGAUAUACCCCCUCCCCGAUAACAUUAUUUUCCCAUGUAUGCAUGUCACAUCGUUGUCGAUAUAACCCCCUCCCGGAUAACUUCGACAUGAGGGGCGGUCGAUAUAUAUACCCUCUUUCGUCCGUGAUAACUUAUACCAUGGGAGGACCCCCCUUGGCCCUCUCGCUCGACCAAAACUCUCGAGGACACCCAAACCCUAGAAAAAAAUGAUGUUGGUCUUCUACCCCCUCCCGCCGCGCCCCUACCCGACAAACUCUCUCGAGGCCACCCCAAUUUACCAAGUUAAAAGAGCAUUGUCGUCGAGGCCACCCCAAACCCCUUGAAGCAUUGUCGAGGCCACCACAAACCCUUGAAGCGUUGCCGAGGCCACCCCAAACCCUAGAGAAGCAGCGUCGAGGCCACUAAUAUGAUUCCUUAUUGUGAUUAUAUUAGCUAGCUAGUUCAGCGUUUGCCACUAAUAUAUCCAGCUAUCAUGUUUGAAUAAUAAUUGCCAUGUUGUAAAUAUUUGCAGAAACUAUGGAGCAGCCCCGAGACGAAGAAACAGAAGAUAUGUUGGGGGACAUAAUUGCAAAGGGAAGUGAUGUCGUUGCGUCGUUUCUCAACGACACCGAUGGUCUGGAAGGACCGGGUAGUGAAGAAGAAGGUUAUGAUUAUGAUGGCUCCGGUGACCCAAUGACGGCUCCGGUACAAGAAGAAGUAUACCAUCAUGACGGCUCCGGUGAAUGAACCGAGUCCGGCCAGGUAUAUAUAUUAGUUAAGCCUGUGCUGACUAGAUAAUUUAUGCAUUCAUUGUUUUCAUAUGUACACAUAUUAAUUAACUCUGGUCUUUCUUCUUUUCUCUAGCCCUCCGGAUCGAGCAAAACUUCGGUAAAGAAACGAGGCCCAAAGAAAAAGUUGCGCUCGGAUGAAAGGUUUGAGAUCACAGCAAUCGCGCGCGAUGGCAAGACGAUUGAACCCAUCCGGACAAGGGAUGCAUUUCGUGCUCAGUUCGGAGUUCUUGUUAGGGACAAGAUCCCGAUCAGUAUCCAGCAAUGGUUAAAGCCUAAGAAGGAAGACCCUGAGGUGUCUUAUGUCUCUGAUAUGCAGAAAGAAGAUCUAUGGACCUCGCUUAAGGCAAAUUUCACCCUACCGCCAGAGGAGGAUCCGGAGAAGCCAGUUAAAGAGCAAUUGAUCAAGUCUCAUGCUCUUAAGAAGAUGGCAGAACUAUUCAGGAGGUGGAAGAAUGAGCUGAAAACAGAGUUUGUCGACGAAGAUUUGACACCAGAAUUCACCAGAAAGUAUGAGAAGAUCAGAGAUCACUGGCCUGCAUUUGUGGCCCACAAGACAUCGAAAAAGAGUAAGAAGAUGUCAGCGAUAAACAAGAUAAAUGCUGCGAAGAAGAAGCAUCACCAUCACGCGGGGUCAGGUGGCUACGUCAAAGCCCGACCUUUGUGGGACAAGGCUAAGAAUGACCUGAUUGCUAAAGGGAUCGAACAAGAGACAUUGAACUGGCCAGACCAUUGCCGGACUUGGUUCUUCGGGGUUGGCGGAACCUUGGACUCUGUAACAGGGAAGUGCGUUUGGACGGAUGAGCAACUGCCAAUACCCGUCAAAAAGCUUCAGGAGUAUAUCGAGAAAGCGCAGCAAGGGACGUUCGUCUCAGACAGAGAGAAGGACAAGCUCACAAUGGCCCUCGGGAAUCCUGAGCACCCUGGACGGACACGAGGCACGCCAGGCUCUGUUCCGUGGAAGGCAGGCUUUCUGGACGCAGGGGGUUACAAAACCCAGGAGGAAGAAAGUGGAGCAUAGCCAACUGCAGGCGCUGCAUGAAAGGGCACAAGGGCUAGAGGAACGAGAAGCAGAUCGCAGCAAACGACCUGCCGAAUCUUCCCCUGAAGCGACCCCGCCAUCUCAGCGGAGAAGCAGCGUGGCUUCCAUCGAGCAGACUCAGCAGCUGGAGCAUGUCUUCACGGCUCCUGCUAGCUACCCCAUGGAUGCUAUCACGGAGUCUCAACAUUGCCACCUUAUGACGCGAUGGAUGACAUUGAAAGUCAAGGCGGCUGUUGGCUCUGUUAUACCUAAUGAACCUGGCUCAACCUACCACGGCUAGCCGAUUCCAGAAGGAUAUGCUAGGGUGAUGGUGGAUCAAAUAACGGACGGAUUUGAGGACCUUCAGCUUGACCACCCUACGGGUGAAGGGGAGAUUCGGUUGGGUUCUUCUCUAACGACUCCAUGCCUAUGGCGGAAGGAGCUCAUCAACCUUCCGAACUGGAUGCCUCCGCCUCCUCCUCCUCCUUCGGCGAGUCAGGGCAAUCCGCCUCCUCCUCCGCCUCCUCCUCCGGCGAGUGAUCAGGGCACUCAGCCUCCUUCUCCGACGUGUGGUGGCACUCCACCUCCUUCUUCGCCUGAGCCAGCGCACCUGAGCAGCCAGCCUCCUCCUUCUCCGCCUCAUCAACAAGGGAGGAUCAAGAGACAUGCCGCCGCUCCGGCUGCUCCGGCACGUCGUAGUCCUUCGCCUCCGCCUCGUAAGAAAGGAAAGACAGCCACAACCUCUCCGUCCGCUCCGGGGUCUAGCAGCACAGCCAGAGGCGGGAGGCAAUACAAAUACGGUCCUUCUCUCAAGACUCCAGAGAAGUUACCAUAUGAGAGGAACGUGGAGGAAAACACGCGUAUCAUGCAAGCCGAAGUGGAUAACUUCUUUGAAGGGGCGAAAGCAAAGAUACAUCCACCACUGGAGGAGAAGAUAGAUCCGGUAAAAGUGAAGCGUACUAUGGCUGCCCUGCAGAAACCACCAAAGUCUCCGGCGAAAGGCAACUAUGACUGCAUUCUUACAAAGUCAUUUAUGGAAGCGUCGCGGUCGGGAAGUACUAUCAGUGGUCAAUGAUGGGCUGGUAAAAAAGUUGCCCAGCUCGGCGAACAAGCGAACCAAUCGUCCCCCCCACUCCAGGUGUCUAGCGAUAUCGUUGCUAAUGUUCUGGGCGGGAUGGUGUCCGGUUAUAACAAUCUUGAAGAUUACCUGCCCAACGAUGUACAUUAUGAUUUCUUGGAGGUGGACGAACACAAAUACGUGUACGGGAAGCCUCUCGUCAAAGAUGAAAGAUCUCUACCAACGAUGAUGUUCAUAUUCCAUGAGUGGUACAUGGAAACCCACAGAGAAUCUGAUGGGAUGAAUAUUUUGACGCUGAGAGUCAGAGAGGAGCAUGACCUCGUUGGACUUGAACUGUUGAAUGUUCCAUUUGAGGAGUUCUUCGCGUUUUCAAUCUAAAGGCCCUCGAUAAAUUAAUGAUCACUUGCUAGUGCCUGUAAGUACAAUACUACUUCUGUCAUUAAGUCUCUCUAUAUAGGUCAGCUCUUUCAUUGCAUGUAUUUUCAGUUAUCCUCACUAUAUUAUGCAGAUUGAAGAUCGCCGAAUUGAAGAAACGACAAAUCGGUGAUAUUGGGUUCAUUAACACAAAUCUCAUAGAUGCAUAUAUGGUUAAAUCUCAGGCCAAAGAAACCGAGGCCAAGCUGCUAAAAUCGUUUGUAUUAAAUCAAAACAAAGCUAUAAUACUCUUACCUUACGAAUUCAAGUGAGUGUUACUGUCUUGUGCAUAUUCGGUUUCCCUUAUUAGUCGAGGUUAUAGUAAUGUAAUUGAUGAGUUAUGCAUGCGUGCGCAUGUUCCACUAUAUUCUCCUAGAGAUUAAGCUUGAGCAGGGACUAGUAACCGUCUUAGACUCGAGACGAAAAGAUCCCAACGAGUAUGCGGACAUGACUGAAAUUCUAGAGAAGUAAGUUAAAUCGAUCAUUAUCGCACCAUAUCGGCAACUUUGUUCAUUUCCUGAUAUCAAGUAAUUGUUUUCUUUGUCUGCUGGCAGGGUUUGGAAAACAUUCAUCUCAAAAACUCUGGGACUGCCGAAGAAGCUGCAAUUUAGACACCCGAAAGUAAGUACUAUAGUAGCAUGUUCCACGCAUUUUCUAGUGAUUCAAGCGCUAGUUUUAUCAAUACCAUUUAGCAUGCUUGCUAAUUAUCAGUUUGAUUGACCUCUUUUUCUUGU
rnacentral:lncRNA from 1 species